rnacentral:rRNA from 1 species
AUUGAACGCUGGCGGCAUGCCUUACACAUGCAAGUCGAACGGCAGCGCGGGAGCUUGCUCCUGGCGGCGAGUGGCGAACGGGUGAGUAAUACAUCGGAACGUACCCAGAAGUGGGGGAUAACGUAGCGAAAGUUACGCUAAUACCGCAUAUUCUGUGAGCAGGAAAGUGGGGGAUCGCAAGACCUCACGCUUUUGGAGCGGCCGAUGUCGGAUUAGCUAGUUGGUGAGGUAAAGGCUCACCAAGGCGACGAUCCGUAGCGGGUCUGAGAGGAUGAGCCGGCACACUGGGACUGAGACACGGCCCAGACUCCUACGGGAGGCAGCAGGGGGGAAUUGUGGACAAUGGGGGCAACCCUGAUCCAGCCAUGCCGCGUGAGUGAAGAAGGCCUUCGGGUUGUAAAGCGCUUUCGCGAGGGAAGAAAGCGCACUGGUUAAUACCUGGUGUGGAUGACGGUACCUUGAUAAGAAGCACCGGCUAACUACGUGCCAGCCGCCGCCGUAA